UUUUUUUUUUUUGUAAUGGCUGUUACGCAUAAGAAUUCCCACCAUAAACAACUGUUACAUAACCAUUAUUGAAUACCUUAAUUGGAUUGAUUUUGGAAUGAUAGGACUGCUUGGUAGGGUAGAUGAUAAAGGCUUUCCUAUAUAAAGCUAGGGUGGAAGGAUGUAUAGAUGAGGGGAUUGGUUUGAUUUGGGAUGAUAAGAUGCUUGACAGGGUUGGUGAUAAUAGGCCUUUCUUGAUAAAGGAAGAGCUUGGAUUCACUCAACGCGGAUGCUGGGGUUCUUAAGAGUGAUUGGGUUGUGCCUAGCUGACUAGGUGGAUUUUACCACUCAUUAGUCACCUCAAAGUCAAUGUGGAUGACUCCUUAAGAGAGAGUCUUGUGCACAGUGAUGGCAAGGGGGGUUGUCUUAAUAUAGGACGUGGCACAGAUACAUUUCUAUCAUGGUUGGACCAAAAAAAGGUGAACUAUAAAUUGGUCAUAACUUUUGAUCUGGGUAUCAUUAUGGGGCGCACAACCUAUCAAUCUUUACUGUAAUGGGCUAUCUAAGGUGAACCAACCCACUUUCAGCUCAAAAAUGAAAAUUUAGGAAAAAUUGCUAUUUUUGGUAAUUACGAAUUUUGGUUUAUUUUUUUCUUUAUUAAUAAUGUAACAGGCACACACAUGAGACAAUUAUCAAUCAAUUUAUUUCCAAUUUAUUUAGAAUUUAUUUCUAUUUCCUAUCUCUCCUCGUGGAUUUGAGGAAUCUUUGUGAGGAGUCCAAAGAAGCUCCGUGGAUUCGGAGUAAUUAUCUCCUGAGGGAGACUGCUCGACCUCAUCACGUCUAUCCUUGUGUUAUGUCCUGACCCCAAUGGAGAUUAAGUGUUUCCUCUUUUUUCUUUUUUUUCUUUUUUUUUUUUUUCCCGUCGACCAACGUGAUUGUGGAAAUCCAGGCCUUUUUGGACAACCUAACCCUGUGCAAAUGCAUGAGUAUUAAUGGUUUUGGAAUUGUGGAGUAAUUCUCGGACAUUAGUUAGUGAUAUCUUGUUGGGUGCAAGGGGCCAUUGGGAUGCUUGGUAUUGGUGGUAAGAGAUGCUACCUUGAGAAUCUUGAAUGUGGAGCUCCAGCGUAUAUUAAGGGAGGGCAACAAGGAAGCAGACUGCCUCGCAGUAGCAAAUUUGGGCACAAGGAACAACGCCGUCAAUGCGAUUAGUGAGCUGCUUGGGAAAGUCUUAAGACAAAGUUCUAGUUUACAAAUGUGGGAUUGCAAAUCUAAGAAUUAGGUAAUUGAGGGGGUUGGGCUUGUAAACGUUGUUUCUUACCACUUAGUUUUUGGUUGUGGACUUCUUCUUUUUGUAAGUUAUAGAGCCCAGGCUGGGGUUGUCCUAAAAAGAAAACGUCAAGGUAGCAAUCCAAGGCUGGGGUUGUCCUAAAAAGAAAACAUCAAGGUGGCACUCUAGGGCUUGGGUUGUCCUAGAAAGAAAAUAUUGGCAUUCCAAGAUGUCAAUGUAAAGUGUCCUGAUGUGGGCAUUCCUCGUUAAAAAGAAAAGAUAAAGGAAAAG